rnacentral:rRNA from 1 species
UACGUAGGCAGCGAGCGUUGUUCGGAAUUACUGGGCGUAAAGAGUGUGUAGGCGGUGCUCUAAGUUCGGUGUGAAAUCUCCCGGCUUAACUGGGAGGGUGCGCCGGAAACUGGAGUGCUCGAGCGUGGGAGAGGAAAGCGGAAUUCCUGGUGUAGCGGUGAAAUGCGUAGAUAUCAGGAGGAACACCGGUGGCGAAGGCGGCAUCCUGGACCGAUAUUGACGCUGAUGCGCGAAAGCCAGGGGAGCAAACGGG